UGCAAGUCGAGCGAACAGAUAAGGAGCUUGCUCCUUUGACGUUAGCGGCGGACGGGUGAGUAACACGUGGGUAACCUACCUAUAAGACUGGGAUAACUUCGGGAAACCGGAGCUAAUACCGGAUAACAUUUGGAACCGCAUGGUUCUAAAGUGAAAGAUGGUUUUGCUAUCACUUAUAGAUGGACCCGCGCCGUAUUAGCUAGUUGGUAAGGUAACGGCUUACCAAGGCAACGAUACGUAGCCGACCUGAGAGGGUGAUCGGCCACACUGGAACUGAGACACGGUCCAGACUCCUACGGGAGGCAGCAGUAGGGAAUCUUCCGCAAUGGGCGAAAGCCUGACGGAGCAACGCCGCGUGAGUGAUGAAGGGUUUCGGCUCGUAAAACUCUGUUAUUAGGGAAGAACAAAUGUGUAAGUAACUGUGCACAUCUUGACGGUACCUAAUCAGAAAGCCACGGCUAACUACGUGCCAGCAGCCGCGGUAAUACGUAGGUGGCAAGCGUUAUCCGGAAUUAUUGGGCGUAAAGCGCGCGUAGGCGGUUUCUUAAGUCUGAUGUGAAAGCCCACGGCUCAACCGUGGAGGGUCAUUGGAAACUGGGAAACUUGAGUGCAGAAGAGGAAAGUGGAAUUCCAUGUGUAGCGGUGAAAUGCGCAGAGAUAUGGAGGAACACCAGUGGCGAAGGCGACUUUCUGGUCUGUAACUGACGCUGAUGUGCGAAAGCGUGGGGAUCAAACAGGAUUAGAUACCCUGGUAGUCCACGCCGUAAACGAUGAGUGCUAAGUGUU
rnacentral:rRNA from 1 species